CGACCCUGUGGCCUUGUACCAGU
rnacentral:piRNA from 1 species